rnacentral:rRNA from 1 species
GUGUCAGCAGCCGCGGUAAUACCAGCACCCCGAGUGGUCGGGACGAUUAUUGGGCCUAAAGCAUCCGUAGCCGGUUUUACAAGUCCUCCGUUAAAUCCAACCGCUUAACAGAUGGGCCGCGGAGGAUACUAUAAGACUAGGAGGCGGGAGAGGCAAGCGGUACUCAGUGGGUAGGGGUAAAAUCCUCUGAUCCAUUGAAGACCACCAGUGGCGAAGGCGGCUUGCCAGAAUGCGCUCGACGGUGAGGGAUGAAAGCUGGGGGAGCAAACCGGAUUAGAUACCCGGGUAGUCCCAGCUGUAAACGAUGCAGACUCGGUGAUGGACCAGCUUAAUGCUAGUCCAGUGCCGCAGGGAAGCCGUUAAGUCUGCCGCCUGGGUAGUACGGUCGCAAGACUGAA